AGUUUGAUCAUGGCUCAGGACGAACGCUGGCGGCGCGCCUAAUACAUGCAAGUAGAACGCUGAAGAGAGGAGCUUGCUCUUCUUGGAUGAGUUGCGAACGGGUGAGUAACGCGUAGGUAACCUGCCUUGUAGCGGGGGAUAACUAUUGGAAACGAUAGCUAAUACCGCAUAACAAUAGGUGACACAUGUCAUUUAUUUGAAAGGGGCAAUUGCUCCACUACAAGAUGGACCUGCGUUGUAUUAGCUAGUAGGUGAGGUAACGGCUCACCUAGGCGACGAUACAUAGCCGACCUGAGAGGGUGAUCGGCCAUACUGGGACUGAGACACGGCCCAGACUCCUACGGGAGGCAGCAGUAGGGAAUCUUCGGCAAUGGGGGCAACCCUGACCGAGCAACGCCGCGUGAGUGAAGAAGGUUUUCGGAUCGUAAAGCUCUGUUGUAAGUCAAGAACGAGUGUGAGAGUGGAAAGUUCACACUGUGACGGUAGCUUACCAGAAAGGGACGGCUAACUACGUGCCAGCAGCCGCGGUAAUACGUAGGUCCCGAGCGUUGUCCGGAUUUAUUGGGCGUAAAGCGAGCGCAGGCGGUUUGAUAAGUCUGAAGUUAAAGGCUGUGGCUCAACCAUAGUUCGCUUUGGAAACUGUCAAACUUGAGUGCAGAAGGGGAGAGUGGAAUUCCAUGUGUAGCGGUGAAAUGCGUAGAUAUAUGGAGGAACACCGGUGGCGAAAGCGGCUCUCUGGUCUGUAACUGACGCUGAGGCUCGAAAGCGUGGGGAGCGAACAGGAUUAGAUACCCUGGUAGUCCACGCCGUAAACGAUGAGUGCUAGGUGUUGGAUCCUUUCCGGGAUUCAGUGCCGCAGCUAACGCAUUAAGCACUCCGCCUGGGGAGUACGACCGCAAGGUUGAAACUCAAAGGAAUUGACGGGGGCCCGCACAAGCGGUGGAGCAUGUGGUUUAAUUCGAAGCAACGCGAAGAACCUUACCAGGUCUUGACAUCCCGAUGCUAUUUCUAGAGAUAGAAAGUUACUUCGGUACAUCGGUGACAGGUGGUGCAUGGUUGUCGUCAGCUCGUGUCGUGAGAUGUUGGGUUAAGUCCCGCAACGAGCGCAACCCCUAUUGUUAGUUGCCAUCAUUCAGUUGGGCACUCUAGCGAGACUGCCGGUAAUAAACCGGAGGAGGGUGGGGAUGACGUCAAAUCAUCAUGCCCCUUAUGACCUGGGCUACACACGUGCUACAAUGGUUGGUACAACGAGUUGCGAGUCGGUGACGGCAAGCUAAUCUCUUAAAGCCAAUCUCAGUUCGGAUUGUAGGCUGCAACUCGCCUACAUGAAGUCGGAAUCGCUAGUAAUCGCGGAUCAGCACGCCGCGGUGAAUACGUUCCCGGGCCUUGUACACACCGCCCGUC
rnacentral:rRNA from 1 species